GGCCUUGUGGUGUAGUGGUAACACGUCCUCUACUGACUAGUGAGGAUAUUCUUCGGAGGAAUUCCCUUGUUCGAAUCAAGGUGAGGCCA